UUAAAGAUGUUAGAAGUUAAAUAAGUUUGUUUUAGGUACAAAAAAUGGGGUUAUCCCUCUUUAAG
rnacentral:tRNA from 1 species